AGGUUUUCCACCUUCCCUUGCACGGGGUAAUGGCGUCAGAUGGCACGUAGGCCCGCCAAGCUAAAUCUGCCUGUGCACCCUUCCAGGGCCAGCAAAGCACCGCCAUAACCACAGUAAGGAAAAAGGAUCUCAGCCUGAAUUUGGCUAUACCGGGAGAAAGAAAAGUUCUGAGGAGCUGUUAUUAUAUAUUCUAAUGAGAAGUCAUUGGAGAAAUUAAAAAGGGCAGAGAAAGAUGAAGACGCCAGCACUAAUUCCGCAGGAAGCCUCCCAGGGAAAAGGCUGUGUGAGUGUGAACGCUGAAAAGCAUGAAGGCCUGGAAUUAGACUAUCAUUUAGAAAGCGUUACUAAUCCGAAGUUACAGCAGUAAUUCCAUGAUUUGCUGGGUCCCACACGCAGCGCCAGAAUUAAAGAUACGGAUUUUCUAGAAAUGUAACUCAACUGUGGCACCGAGUCUCGGCAAGAUCCGAAUGAAUCAUUCAUUCCAAAGGCAGCGAAAGACGUGUCAUUAAGAACCAACCUCCUUCUCUCCAGCCCAUCUGGAAUAUGUAUACUCGAUGCAAUCCCAGAAAUUGUGGAAGAGAUCGGAGGUGGGGAGGAAGGAAUGUAGUCCUUUCCUUCCUUUAUUAUGUUGGCUAUUUUUAAGAAAUAAUUUUCCAAUUAUUUUCACAAUAUUGUGAGUGGCGCUCAAUUCUUCUGCUAUUUAUUUUUUUCCCCCUUUGGUGCUCUAGCAUCGAGUCAGGUGCAAACAGUUUCAGUGGAGAUGCUUUAAAACUAGACUGAACAAAGCAGGAGGGAACUGAGCAAGGUGGUUGAUGAAUGCAUUUAUUCCGGAGUAAUGAUUUGAUGGGGGAUGGAGGAAAGAAACAUUCAAAUUCCUAAUGAAUGUAAUUCAGGAGAAAUCAUUCAACCAGCAUGUUAGAGAAAAUCUGUUUGGUGGGAGUGUUCUGCACUGGCAGAACCCAGGAGGUAUUUCUGUCCCUGGCCUUUGUAAUUGCAAAAGGUGAAAAUAUAAAAAGAGGAUCUGAGGAAAAAAAAAUAUACACACAUAUAAUAAAUGUCUUUGUGUGUGUAUAUAUAAAUACAUAUAUAUAUAUAUAAUUUUAUGAAAUAAAAUGGAAGUGUGGAAAUCCGUGUCUACAUGAGAACUCUUACAAAGGAUUGAUGCCAGCCUUUUCACCUUGCUAUUCAAUCAGCUGGUCAGAAACCACUCUUGACUUUUACUAUUUUUUUUUUCUCCACAAAAUCACCUCUGCUGAGCUGAUUUUUCAGGUAUUUUUUUGAGCCAUGUACUUGGUGCACUUACCCCAGGGCAGUUCCCCCGAAGGGGACUGAGACAGGGACUUAGCGAUUUGGCCUUUAACGUCCAGGAGAGAGAAAGUGAGGUUGAAUUUUUUCUGCUGCUUUAAUGCUUCAUUUUUGUCCCCAUUGUUGGCAUGAACCUAUGGAUGCCUCGAGGAGGUGUGAAGGCAGCACCCCCUCAAUUAACAAGGGAGGUGUCAGUGAGUGAUGGGGGACAGCAGGAUGAGAAUCCCCAGCUCCUGUGUGUGUGGGUUGGGGGUGAGGCAGUGGAUGAAGCCCCCCAGCAAAUCUCUGCCUGUGGCAUACCCGCUGCAUCCAGAGAGUCCCUGGCAGCCCACCGACAGGUCUCUGCUUUCUGUUUUUUUUUUUUUUUUAAGUGCCAUAUUGGAAGGGAGGUCCCCAAGGGUCCAUCCUUGGGCCAGGGAUGGAUUUUGGCUGGACACAGUUCCCUCUGUGGCUUUUUUGCCCUGUUAGGGUAGCUGCUGGUUUGGUUGGGUCUUUGCCCUUGUAUAGGCAAAACCCAGAAGGGAAGGCGUCUUUUUGGGGCGUGCUGAGAUGAGAGUCCAUGUCCUGGCAUUCCUGGUUCUUUCUCUUCUCACUGGGGCUCUCCUGGUGGAGAAUAGGAUGCAGCGUAGGCCAAACAUGGGUGAGGUUCCUGGAGCCGGGUUGUGAUGUCUUUGUUCUUCAGGCAGAGCUAGGGAUGGGCAGAGGGAGACAGGAACAGAAGAAUCAGCAUGUGCCAUUGGGGGAUGAAUGGAAAAUACAGUUUGUGGGUUUCACCCCACGGAAAUGAUGCUCUGGGAGAUUGCGUGCUCCAGCUCAGGAUUUCCCACCUUUUCCUAAAACUUGUCCACCAUGCAGUGAGUUUGGCUUGGUGCAUGAGAUGAAGGGGCUUUAUACCAAAUACCUGGGGCAGCCAAACUCACCAGGGCUCGGGGUCAGGUGGAGAAGGAGCUAUUCAGGCCCUGCUAUUGGAAGGAGCUCCCCUGGAAGCCAGGCUGUGUGAGUGUGCACUCUUGGUUAUGGAUGAAAUCCCAUCAAUGGGCAUUUUUGUGGAACUGCCUGGCAAUGGCAAGUUCCACUCUUGAGGCUGGGCUCAGCCAUUUCUUUUGUCUCUCUUGACUCCCAUGCCCUGCCUGCACCCUUGAUGCAAAUGGACAGAGCCUCCCUUUACCUACUGUUCUACCCUGGCUUUGUCUGUGCCGCCGCAGAAAGGGCAGAACCGAGGAGCUUGGAGGGUCCAUCCAACCUGUGGCCAUGGAUGGGUGCUGCUCGUCCACCAGGGAGGGAUUACAGCUGCCUGCUGGAAACCCUGGUCUGUGUGGCUGGAGGGAAGGUGCUGGUUUGGCAUCAGCACUGAGGCGCCUGGCACGAGGUGGUGCACACACACCGUUCAUGGUGUGGGUACUGCGUGUCACCCUGGCACUGCUCCUGCCACACUGCAGCCCCUCAGUCACCCUGAGUCUCUGGGUGUCACCAGGGACCACCAGCAUAACAUGAACAUGAGGCUGCCCGCACUGGCUUCCCCAGCACACGGUACAGGGAGUCACCCCGUCCAGGUUGGGGAUUUUGGUGUUUCGUGCUCGCAAGCCUGGUCACCUUGGAAAGAUGUUUGCCAGCACCCAAACUGGAAAAACAUCAUCUUGGGCUUCUCACCAUCCCUCUGUCCCUCUGAGUGCACAUAUUUGUGACCAGAGCUGGCAUACGAGGCCGGGCCAUCACACUUCCCACAGGCGGGCUCCCGCACGGAGUCAGGACGAGGUUCUGGCUUUCGUGUUUUCUAAUAUUUAUUCAGGGGCUCAGGUUUGGUUAGGAGCGUUUGCCUCGAAAGCUAAGGAGUGGGGGUAAAAAAAAGAAAAUGGGGGGAGCAAAAGAACACAAUCUCCGGCAGUUAGCUGUCUCUUGGAAACUCAGCUUGCUGUUCCUAUAGAGGCUUUCUCUUUUCCUUCACCCUGGUCUGGCCUUAAGUACCACUUUAAGCGGGCUUUGCUCAUUCACAUCCAGGCUCCUUAGAGCAAUUGAGCCCGCGGGGGUUUGAAAAGAAGGGACAGUCCUUCAAUGGCAGGACCUUGGGCCAGGCUAAUUGGUUUUGGUUCAAGGGGAUACUGGAUUUGUGAAAAGCCCGAAGACAUCUUUCCCACGCCAAAUCCCGGCUCUUCAGAGGGGGAAGUGAGGGGUGCUAGGUGGAGAAGGGAGCUGAAAGAAAGAUGGUUUAGUUGAGGAACCUCGUCAGGCCCCGGAUGCCCAGCAGCCUUGGCAGGGAUGGGUGCAGCAGGGGCAGUGCCCAGGGUGGCACAGCAGCAGGGGCAUGGUGCCUUCCUCCUCCUCCUCCUGGGGGUAGGUGGACAGUGGUGGCUGGCUCCUGGUGGCAUGCUGGCAGCAGUGGCCUGGUUUCAUUAAAACCAGGCUUUUUCAGUGUAUGCCAGUCUCCCAUGGAGAUGCCACGAAUGCAGGAAGGAUGGGACAUGGGUCCAGAAACCAAAUUGUGUCUGUGUGCUCACCUGUGCAGCCGUAGGAGAAAUUUGUUGAGGUCUCUUGUAUCUCAUUUUGAUUUAGGAAUUUAUUUAUUUUUAAACAUUUACUCUCUCUGGCACCAUUCCAGCAGUCCCCCAACCUUUACUCUCCCCAAUCCAUAAAAAUCACUUAAUUAUUGGGCUGAAAAUCAAGGCUUGGAAACAAAGCCAGCUUAUGGGACCAUCAGUUCUUGAUAUAUUUCCUGAGAGGACAUAUUUCUGGGCACCUUCAGAGCAGAGCACGCAGCUUGUUGGAUAUGAGAUAUCAAGGCAUUAUUUAUUGAGGAAGUCUUCACACUCCCUCAUCUGUUAUAAUUAACUGAUGACAUUUUUUCUUAGGUUCAAAAUAUGGUGAAAAAGUAUAAUUAGCACGAAGCUGAGGCACUGCAUUAAAAUGUCUCCUAUAGUUAAUGUAGGGUAGUCGUGCUAUUUAUUAUAGGAGGAGCUGGCUCUGACCUCUGUGUUGCCUAACACUUUUUAUUGUAAAGAUUCUUGAACUUUUUUUUCUUUUUGAGAACCUCUGACACUCCCAUUGUUUGCUGUGGGCCCUUGAAAUUCGUCUGGGGGAAGCUCUUCGAGUCGAGAAAUGCCUGUUCUUUGUCCCUUAAAUUCCUUUCAGGUUUAGCUGAAUUAUGAAUUGUUCAGAAUCACGAUUUCCCUUCGCUUGCCUCUUGAGGAGGGGGGGCGAAAAAUUAAAAUUUAUUGUUUCCCUGGAAUAAUAAUAACAGAUUAGGAGCAGGGUGAAACCACGGACUCCCACCACUUUAUUGCAGAGCUGUGGACCAGCCAGGGAAGGUGGGAGGGUGUUCACAGCCAGCUCCAUCACGCCUUUCCACCUUUUGGUCAUAUCCUUCCAGCACAGACCCUUCUCCUGGGAGAAAACUCCUCUGUGUGCUUUUGCCAGGAGGGAGAAGUGAAGGGGAUGUGGGUGCAUUGGCCUGGGCACUGCCAACCCCAGCAGUCCCCUUCUCUGCUGGCCCCAGGAGAGCAGCCUUCUGCCGCUGCCAGAUAACAUUAGCCCUGUAUUUCAUAGUGGCAGAAAUCUGUGCCGAGGCUUGGGGCUUGAAAAUCUCUCUGCCCGCACAGGAUGAAGCAGGGAUGGGUGCGGGGUGGAGGAAGGGGAAUUUGUUACACUUGCCUACAAUUGUUUUUCUUUUUGCUUAUAUAAACAAUCUAUUAUUUAUUAGCUAUAAAUAAUGCAUUUUUCUGUAUGUUUAGAAUGCACGUGAUUUCUGUAUAUUAAAAAUGUACAUGGUUGAAGGCACCAAUGCAGGCGCUGGCAAGUCGGGGGGUACCUGAUUUCAUUCUGACCAUGAGACGUUAAUUCAGCCUCUCCCUGCCCAUGUCCUUACGAGGCUGACGACACGGUCACAGCCUAUUUUUAGCUCACUCCCUCUUUUCCUGUCCAGAGUGGCUGCACAGCGAGGUGGAAUUAAGGUUGCGUGGACAGCCAUAAAUUGGACACUUCCUAAGUUUGAAGUGCUUGACCACGCAAUCUCAGUGAGGGCUCUUCAGGGCAGUAUUUCUGCAUGUGGCAUUAACUGCAUUGGCUGGGGACGUCAAACACAGGGGUAGAGAAGCUGUAGAGCAAAAAAGACCCAUCAGACUAUUGAAAGUGUUCGUUUGAAUAGGUGGGGGAGUCAACAGAGCCUACACUUGAUCUGAGCUAAAUGGCCAAGAAGAUGUCUCCAAGCUGAAAGGGGGGAAGCCUUUAUUCCUUCAGUCCCUGCCUUGAUGUUUUCUUUGCCUUUGGUUUUCCCUCGCUCCCUCCUAAGGAGGUUUGGGCUCCUGCAGUAGAGGAACCUUUGGCUUGUGUAGUGGAUUUAUGUGCUGCUGGAAGCGGGGGUGUCCCUAGGAAUGUGCACACACGCGCACGCUCCCGUCAUCGCACCAGCAGAUGUGUGCUACCAGCUCGCAGGUACUUGCUGAUUGGCGUCCUUGCCUUGCCUUGCCUUGCCUUGCCCACUCCCUCUUUCCCAUGUCACUGUCAGGAGCCAUUCCACAUGUUGGAGGGAAAGGAGAGGCCUUUGUGUUUUACAUAGGAAGGAUAAUCUCUUUUUUAGCUGCUGGAAGAAUUACUCCAAAGGUGAUUAUAUGCAAAGCCUGAAAUAUAUGUUUGCCUGAAAUAGCACAUUUUUGUUUUCUUUUUUUCCUUUGUUUACUGGUGGGUAUCUCCAUUCUGGCUCUCAGUAAGAUGCUUGGCUGUCUGUUUUUGAGUGGACUGGACACCUUGAGCAAAUCAGUCUGGAAAGUAAGCAGCCCUUUGUUUUACUUUCCCAGGUCUAAUGCAGUCACAGCCCCUUGCACAUACCUUGUGCCAAUACCAGAGCACUCUCCCCCAGCUGGCAGUGUAUUUGCCCUGGGUUAUAAUUAUUUGACUGAGCAGUUUUGUGUUUCCAGAAUUCCUGGAACCUGAUACCUGCCUGGGGCCAUUUCUGGAUCGGCACAGGUUUCCAAGUGUCCUGCGUUUGGGUUUCCAUUGUUUGGGCUUGGCUUGUGUUUCAUGAGCAUCUCUUUCAUAACUUUCCCCCUCUCUCCUGCCUCUCAGUUCAGCAAAGGGCCUGUCUAUCUGAAUGCAGGCAAUAAACAUCUGUUCUCACCCUCACUUCUGUUAAUGAGAUAGAGACAGGUAAGCAUCACACAUACCAACUUCCCUGCUCUCAGCAACAUCAAGGAAACGGUGACAAGCUAUUAAUGGAAAGUGAUGGUCUGGGUGCUAAUUAGUGCUUCCUUUUCAACUUUUACCUACAUGUCUGCCGAGAUGCCCAUCCCAGCCUCUCCUCUCUCCUUGCAUCCCUUUGUUUCCAGCACGUUGUGUUCACUGUGCACAUUCCAUGUCAAAGAGUCUUCUCUGUUUUUUCCCUACCAAUCACUUUCUGCAUCCCUUCAUUCCCUUUUUUUCCUCUUUUCCCUGGCACCCUCAUUCUUCUGUGGUUGUUCCAGCCAAAGAAUAAACAUGACAUUAUAGUAGGAUCUCAAAGCUUGGGGAUGGGAUAUAUGAAGUUGGUCAGGAAUUGCUCAUCUUCAUCACUGGGUAGUAAUAUUUGCUUGUGGCACUAGUGCACGGGGUCAAAUUACCCUGGGGAUGUGAGGUCAGAGAUCUAUCCCCUCUUCCCACAGGUAAUGCUGUAGGGAGCCUCCCAGCAGCUCACAGGUCUUGAUCAUGGAGCAAUUAGUAUUUAAAGUAGAUCUUCUGGUAAUGCCCAGAGACCAAGAAGGACAGGCCUCCAUGGUGUGAGCCUGCAGGAGAUGACAGGUCCUGCCCCAGAGAGUUUCUGAUCUAAACCGUAAGUGGUUUUGCUGUCCACCAGCCCCUGGUUUUUUAAUGGCUGGUUUUUGAGAUCCACCCCAAUUUAUGCUGCUGCAGCAACACGAUUCCUGGUCUCAGCUUGGUGCCCGGUCUCUCCCUUUUCUCUUUCUUCUGGUCCCUGGACUCUGUCCCUUCCCCAAGGACACUAAUCAUCCCCUCCUCACCUUUUCUGCACGGGCUGUGGGUUUCUUGCUGCCAGGCUUGUGUCCCAAGGAGCUGCCUAAUCUGCCCCUGUCAUUCCCAGUCACAGGCUCUGCACACACCAUAGCUUUAUGGGGAAUGCUUGCAGGGCAGUAGGAAGAGGCAGCCAUGGUUUGCACAUCAGCUAAUUAAUUUUCAUGACUGAACGAUGCUGCCUGGUCUCUUGUUUAUACUCCUCGCCUCUCCCCUUCUCCCCCUCCUCGCUGACACACACACAAGACGACACAUCUCGUAGGAACGUCAGCAUCCUUCCACAGCCUUGAGACGCGAGCGGUUAUUCUGUUGGCUUGUCAAACGUGGGUUUCCCUGCUUCAUGGUACACAGGGGCCCCCUGUUUCACAUUUGCUGAUUCUUAUUAGACCCAGCGCGCCAGGGCCCUGUCUCUCCCUGCAAAGCAACGCACCGCAUCCCAUCCAUAAAUCCAACCCUGGAACAAAGCCUCUUCUACCCUGCCCCAUAUUUCUACCCAGCCUGCCCGCUUUCCCCUCUCUCUCUCUCUCUCCCCCUCUCUUGUGCUGAAGGUUUCCUAGUGCCAGGGAGAUAUGAUAAUUCUUGUGAAGAGAGCAUGAAAUGCCUCUGCUCUUUGUGUCUGUUUAAUUCAAUGAGAAUCCCAGCCCCAGAUGUCAUGAAUGGUGGGCUUUGUGCUGGCCCUUCCUAAGCCCUAACCGCCAGCCCAGCUCUCUGUCUUUCUUGUUUCCCACCACUGGAUACUGAUUAACAAACUAAAUUAUUUUUCCUCCCUAAUGAUGUUUUCCCACUUUGCCCACCAGGCUGGAAGAAGCCACGGGGAGGAAAGAGUUUGUGCAAAGGAUGAGAUAGCCAGGGAGAAAAUUAAAGAGACAGUGUUGCUGUCUGGGGUCUGGCAAUGCAGGUCCACUCGGCUUUAUUUCCUUAUUAGAGAACGGGGUCGUGUCUGGCUGUAUUUUAUGUGGCUGGGUGUAUUUCAGCCGAGGGAUGGGCUUGAAAGCAUCCACACAACGUAUGCUCUGGAGCAUGCCAAGGUCUGUAACUCACUUGCAAUUGUGUGUGCAAGUUUGCAUGGCCCUAAAUUUAAGGUCUCUUUUCCAAACGUGAGUGACAUGCGGUAAUUACUUGACAUCCGUCCACGCAUAUGGGAACCUCUUUCUAAUUGAGACAAAUUCUCUUUUCCUUAAUCAGACAUGACUGAGAGUUCCUGGAGUGGGAUGCCUUGGGAAGGGCUGGGACGUCUCCACCUGAGCAAGGAGAGAUCCCAGUGAGUGGACAAGGAACUUUUGAAGCCCGUGAGUUCCUUCUUCUAGUUGACUGCCACCUGCCUGGACGUGCCAUCUGACUUCUCCGAGUUUCUCCAGGAGAGCCCCAACCUGCUUCUCCAUUGGCCCCAGAGAGGAAACAGCUUUGUUUCGUGAACACAGUGGAUUUCUGCAUCAGUUCGACACACAGCGGUUCAGCCAUGGGGAGGGAGCCAGGGCAGCGCAGGGAGCCAAGGGAUCAUCCCACGUCACUCCUGUAUGUUGCCUUCAGUGCCCUCAAUACCCCAGAGCAGGACCAAAAUGCUUAGGCAGAGAGACCUGAGCCAGUCACUGUCUCACCUGCUGAAAUACCAGGUGUGUGAAGUUUGGCUUUGCUCAUGGAGCAGAGCUCGGCCCUUGCUGCUCUUGAUCCCUGGGUCUGUGGAGCUGUGAAAGCGCAGCCUUCCCAAAGGCACUGUGCUUGGGGCCCAUGAGGACCAUGAGCUUUUCCAGGCCAUGCAGCCCUGCUGCUGUUGUACCGCACCCUCUCUGUUCCUGUAAGAGAAAUGUACUGCCUGUAAUUCUCUCCCAUUCAAAUCCUCCCAACCCCAUGCACUGUUGAAAAUAAACUCUCUCUUUUGCAAAAGCCA